rnacentral:rRNA from 1 species
AUUGAACGCUGGCGGCAUGCUUUACACAUGCAAGUCGAACGGCAGCACGGGGGCAGCCCUGGUGGCGUGUGGCCAACGGGCGAGUAGUACACCGGAACGUGCCCGGCCGAUGGGGAUAACGUAGCUACAGGUACCCUAAUAUCGCACACGAUCAUAGGAUGAAACGGGGGGAUCUUCGGUCCUAGCCGGACUGGAGCGCCCGUUGUCAGAUUAGGUAGUUGGUUGGGUAAAGGCCUACCAAGCCGACGAUCUGUAGCAGGUCUGAGAGGACGACCAGCCACACUGGGACUGAGACACGGCCCAGACUCCAACGGGAGGCAGCAGUGGGGAAUUUUGGACAAUGGGCGAAAGCCUGACGCAGCCAUUCCGCGUGAAGGACGAAGGCCUUCGGGUUGUAAAAUGCUUUUGUACGGAACGAAAAGGCUCUGGCUAAUACCUGGGGCUCAUGACGGUACCGAAAGAGUAAGCACCGGCUAACUACGUG